CCUACGGGAGGCAGCAGUGAGGAAUAUUGGUCAAUGGACGGGAGCCUGAACCAGCCAAGUCGCGUGAGGGAAGAAGGUCCUAUGGAUCGUAAACCUCUUUUGUCGGGGAGCAAUGACUGGCACGCGUCCCCGGAGGGAGAGUCCCCGCAGAAUAAGCAUCGGCUAACUCCGUGCCAGCAGCCGCGGUAAUACGGAGGAUGCAAGCGUUAUCCGGAUUUAUUGGGUUUAAAGGUUGCGUAGGCGGGUUUUUAAGUCAGCGGUAAAAUGUCGGGGCUCAACCCGGGCCGGCCGUUGAAACUGGGGAUCUUGAGUGGGCGAGAAGUAUGCGGAAUGCGUGGUGUAGCGGUGAAAUGCAUAGAUAUCACGCAGAACUCCGAUUGCGAAGGCAGCAUGCCGGCGCCCGACUGACGCUGAGGCACGAAAGCGUGGGGAUCGAACAGGAUUAGAUACCCUUGUAGUC
rnacentral:rRNA from 1 species